rnacentral:rRNA from 1 species
GGGUGAGUAACGCGUGAGGAACCUGCCUCAAAGAGGGGGACAACAGUUGGAAACGACUGCUAAUACCGCAUAAGCCCACAGGUCGGCAUCGACCAGAGGGAAAAGGAGCAAUCCGCUUUGAGAUGGCCUCGCGUCCGAUUAGCUAGUUGGUGAGGUAAUGGCCCACCAAGGCGACGAUCGGUAGCCGGACUGAGAGGUUGAACGGCCACAUUGGGACUGAGACACGGCCCAGACUCCUACGGGAGGCAGCAGUGGGGAAUAUUGCACAAUGGGGGAAACCCUGAUGCAGCGACGCCGCGUGGAGGAAGAAGGUCUUCGGAUUGUAAACUCCUGUUGUUGAGGAAGAUAAUGACGGUACUCAACAAGGAAGUGACGGCUAACUACGUACCAGCAGCCGCGGUAAAACGUAGGUCACAAGCGUUGUCCGGAAUUACUGGGUGUAAAGGGAGCGCAGGCGGGAAGACAAGUUGGAAGUGAAAUCUAUGGGCUCAACCCAUAAACUGCUUUCAAAACUGUUUUUCUUGAGUAGUGCAGAGGUAGGCGGAAUUCCCGGUGUAGCGGUGGAAUGCGUAGAUAUCGGGAGGAACACCAGUGGCGAAGGCGGCCUACUGGGCACCAACUGACGCUGAGGCUCGAAAGUGUGGGUAGCAAACAGGAUUAGAUACCCUGGUAGUCCACACCGUAAACGAUGAUUACUAGGUGUUGGAGGAUUGACCCCUUCAGUGCCGCAGUUAACACAAUAAGUAAUCCACCUGGGGAGUA